AGUACAGGUGUACUUUCUGAUUAGCAUAAAAUUAUGCAGUACCACGUUGCAUUAAUUUUAUUAUUAUAUAUUAAAAGGCAUGAAAUUUCGAUUAUGUUUUAACACCAAAGGCAAAAAGCCAUAUAAUUGAAUAUCAUAAAGUUAAUAGGCCUUAAGCUACCAGAAAUGUUACGGAAAAACAUUAAGUCUUUUGAGAAAACAGUUUUAAUGGUUCCACACACACUUACAAUUUAGCUGUAAGUGGAAAUCUAAUAAAGAAAUAGAUAAAAUUAAAUAAUCCGUAGGAUGAUUAACCACGCAUUAAAAAAAACCGUAUCGAUUUUUCAAAUAAGUGCGACAAAAAAUAACGUGCAUCAUUCGAGUGGUAAUGCUAUAAAAAAAAACGAAUAUGCACGUUUGUCGGCCAUUUUGUAUGACUUAAGUACUCAUUAAGUAUAGACUUAUUUGGAGGUUGACGAUUAGGCUCAAACAAGGAUGAACAGGACCACCUUGUAGAUUUGUCUGGUUUAUUUUUAGCAGGCAAGUAGAUAUAUAACAAAACAUAAAAGAACAUACAAUAAAACAAAUACGUAACACCAAGGUCAGCAAAGUUGGAUCGCAGAUAAUCCUCAAAUGAGCAAAAGACAUUUUUAACUAGGAACUCCUCUAUCUUGGACUUGAAUGUAAUAAACAGCAGAUUCUAUUUUUUGAAAGAUUGCUGCAUUCUCCAUAACCACAGUAUAAAGAACAAGAGUUUUAAAGUUUUAAAGAACAAGAGUUUCUAGUUUAUGUUCGGUGCCAUAACCCAGAUAUAGAACAGGAAAUUUGGUUUAGAGCAGGAGUAGGGGCAACUAAAAAAGAUAUUCCAGUACACAUAAUGGCUACUCGUCACGGUCCAGAAUUAUGUACGGUUCUUCCAGCUCUUUACCACUUGACUGGUGCUAAUUAUACAAGUAAAGUUGGAACCAAGCGUAGUGCUCUUUGUGCUAAUCCAAUAAAAUUUCUUAGUAACUUCGCUAAAGUACAUCUGAAAUCCAAGUUGAUGAUUCAGUGCAGCGUGCGGAAAAGUAUCUUGUUCAGGUACUUCGCCAAGGUAACCCAUCAAAAACAUUUGAUGAUUUAAGAUAUUGGCUGUAUCACCAUGGUAAAACUUUUUCUGUCACACUAUUGCCACCUACGAGUUCAUCAAUCAGACAACAUAUUUUACGAGCAUUUUUUGUUGUUUAUACCCAAAACAAUUGCUUGAAAGAAGAAACAUUGCCUUUGGAUCCUCUGAUGUUUGGAUACAAGCUAGAAAAUGCCAUCCUUAUUCCAAAAUCUGCUGACAAUAUAUUUCCUUCAGCCGAAGAAUUAGUCCCGAAUUGCAAUUGUGGUAAAUGUGCACGUAAAAAUAAUUGUUGUUGCCAUGUUGCUGAAUUGCCUUGCUGUUCUUUUUGUCGUUGUCGCAUAACAACUCAAUGUAAAAGUCCUAAUGACAUGUAAAUAGCGAUUUGAAAUAUAAUGUUUUCAAAAUGA
rnacentral:lncRNA from 1 species